rnacentral:tRNA from 1 species
GGUGGCUCAAUGGUAAAGCACCUGCCUUGCAUACAUGAGGCCCUGGGUUCAAUUCCCCAGCACCA